AAGAAUAUUAAAUACCAAAAAAAAAGAUAAAAAAAGAAGAACAACACUUGAUAGCUGAUAGCAAAGAACGGUUUUAUCUCUAAGGUCCAUUAUGAUGAAACCAUCUGGUGAAUUAGGUAUUUUAACACGAUUGUUUAUAAAAGUAUUGGAGUGUGAUCGAGAGCAGUGCGAUUUUUGCGUUGCCAGGCAUGCAUGAUAGCCCACACCAUGACUUCCUCUCUCUCCACUCCUGGGAGCUUGUACUCUGUGGUGCUUAAAGAGUUUUUUUUUUUUAGUUUUUUUAUCAGAGACAUGACAGAUGAUGAUAAGGUGUCCAUUACAGAAAAAAGCGAGAUGUAUUUUUAUCAUUUCAUAUACUUACACAUUUAAAAAAAUAAAAGAGAAUGAGGUAGAUAGAUGCUGAAGGAAAUGAAAAAAGAAAGUCCCCCAGUCAUGACAUCAUGGAAAAUGCAUCUAGAAUCAGACUUUAUACUAAAUCAUAAGGGCAUUUGUACAGUGAUUUCAACUGGUAUCACACACACACACACAACAAAAACAGGAAAUUAAAUAAAUACCCCUUCAAAGGGGGAAAAUAACCUUCUAAGACAGGAUAAAUAAGUCCUGGGUAACGUUCCCAAAUACACACGAAGAAAUUCUUCAAAACUAAACUUUUUUUAAAGCCGACUAGCCAGGGAAACCUAUUGUUUUAUUUAGCAAUCUUUGAAGAAACCGAUCACUUCUCUGAACUUGAACCGAUUCUUAUUUGGUUACAGAUGGCAUAUUUCAUCAGGAAGAUUACGAAUACAUCUCUUUUGGAGGCGAUACAGGCUGGUUGGCAUAUGCGAGACAAAUUAAGACAACCCGAUUAGCCCUGUUAGUUGCUAUUGAGUUACAUGAAUGGGUUACAAAAAUAGUCUAUGAGGGUAAAGAAAUGUAAAUGAAAACUUCCAUGUCAAUGCCUGGCAGGAGGCAUGAGCACGAACACUGACAUACUGUACGGUUUACUACACUGUAAGGAGAGGCCAGCAACUAAAAGCUGAGGUGGAAUCAGCUAUGAUGGGAACAUGAUGUUUGGAGAACAAAACCGUAACAUUAACCUGAGAUUGAGCAGCACCUCAUGAGCAGGUGCAAUGGUAGACAACUUUAUCAAGGGUGCCUAAAGUUCACAUGCAGAGCUAAAGGAGUUUGUU